UACGGAGGGAGCUAGCGUUGUUCGGAAUUACUGGGCGUAAAGCGCACGUAGGCGGCUUUUUAAGUCAGGGGUGAAAUCCCGGGGCUCAACCCCGGAACUGCCCUUGAAACUGGAGAGCUAGAAUCUUGGAGAGGCGAGUGGAAUUCCGAGUGUAGAGGUGAAAUUCGUAGAUAUUCGGAAGAACACCAGUGGCGAAGGCGACUCGCUGGACAAGUAUUGACGCUGAGGUGCGAAAGCGGUGGGGAGCAAAACAGG
rnacentral:rRNA from 1 species